rnacentral:rRNA from 1 species
UGCGAGCGUUAAUCGGAAUUACUGGGCGUAAAGCGUGCGCAGGCGGUUCGCUAAGACCGAUGUGAAAUCCCCGGGCUUAACCUGGGAACUGCAUUGGUGACUGGCGGGCUAGAGUGUGGCAGAGGGGGGUAGAAUUCCACGUGUAGCAGUGAAAUGCGUAGAGAUGUGGAGGAAUACCGAUGGCGAAGGCAGCCCCCUGGGCCAAC